AUUGAACGCUGGCGGAAGGCUUAACACAUGCAAGUCGAACGAGUGGCGGACGGGUGAGUAAUGCUUGGGAAUCUCGCUUAUGGAGGGGGAUAACUACGGGAAACUGUAGCUAAUACCGAUUACCAUAAGAGGAGCCCAGGUGGGAGUAGGUAGUUGGUGAGGUAAAGGCUCACCAAGCCGACGAUCUCUAGCUGGUCUGAGAGGAUGACCAGCCACACGGGGACGGAGAAACGGCCCAGACCCCUACGGGAGGCAGCAGUGGGGAAUUUUGCCCAAUGGGGGCAACCUGACGCAGCAAGGCCGCGUGAAUGAAGAAGGCCUUCGGGUUGUAAAGUUCUUUGGGUAGCGAGGCGUUAACUACAGAAGAAGCACCGGCUAACUCCGUGCCAGCAGCCGCGGUAAUUC
rnacentral:rRNA from 1 species